UUUUUAUUCUUGGGCUACCAUAGGGUCUCAAAGGCAACGUACCCAAUCUGGCAAAUUUUAAUGUGAAAAAAAAUGAAACACAAGCCUUAUAUUUGACUCUGUAACUUUUGAAAACACCAUAAAACCUGUACAUGAGGGGUACUGUUGCAAAAAAAGUCACUUUUACUGGCGAUAUCAUCAUUGUAAUACAUUUUACUAUUUUGAAACACUAAUAUUUGUGUUCAGCGAAGUCCCCCGAGUAGAACAAUACCCCCCCAUGUACAGGUUUUAUGGUGUCUUGGAAAGUUAUAGGGUUAAAUAAGGUAAUACCUUGGGUUGUCUACUAUUGCAAAUGGUAUGCCAUUAUGGGUGUAAAUUUCAUUCCUGGGCUACUAUAAAGUCCCAAAGGCAACGUAACCAAUCUGGCGAAUUUAAAUUUCAAAUGUAACGUGCUAUAUUUGACCCUGUAACUUUCCAAAACGCCAUAAAACCUGUACAUAGGGGGCACUGUUUUACA